UAUAGAUGUAGGGGCAUUAAAACAAGCUUAAGUUCAGGGAAAUUUGGGGUAAAGGUUUUACAAGUUUAAUAAAAAAAAAUCUUAUCCCCUGGCAUUUUUAUAGUGGUAGGGACAAUGAAUAAAAACCUGUGUCUCGAAACGAGUGUCCCUGCCCGUUUCUUCGCAGAAUUCUCGUACGACGCAGACUGCGUAGUCGGUACAACGUUUGGUGUUCGAUGAGUCUUGUUCAAAAGCUAAAUCUUUUAUUUGUUGUUUGGAGCGGCUCAAAAACCUUUUUUGGGGCGGAGAAUCUGUGCCUCCGGGCUCAGCUGACAUGUUGAGGCUGAUGAGGAU